GGGCCCGCACAAGCGGUGGAGUAUGUGGUUUAAUUCGAUGCAACGCGAAGAACCUUACCAGGGUUUGACAUCCUGCGAAUCUCUUGGAAACAGGAGAGUGCCUUCGGGAACGCAGUGACAGGUGGUGCAUGGCUGUCGUCAGCUCGUGUCGUGAGAUGUUGGGUUAAGUCCCGCAACGAGCGCAACCCACGUCUUUAGUUGCCAGCAUUUAGUUGGGCACUCUAGAGAGACUGCCGGUGAUAAACCGGAGAAGGUGUGGAUGACGUCAAGUCAUCAUGCCCCUUACGACCAGGGCUACACACGUGCUACAAUGGAAAGUACAAAGGGUUGCGAUCCCCGCGAGGGUCAGCUAAUCCCAUAAAACUUUCGU
rnacentral:rRNA from 1 species